AUUGAACGCUGGCGGCAGACCUAACACAUGCAAGUCGAGCGGAUGAAGGGAGCUUGCUCCUGGAUUCAGCGGCGGACGGGUGAGUAAUGCCUAGGAAUCUGCCUGGUAGUGGGAGAUAACGUCCGGAAACGGGCGCUAAUACCGCAUACGUCCUGAGGGAGAAAGUGGGGGAUCUUCGGACCUCACGCUAUCAGAUGAGCCUAGGUCGGAUUAGCUAGUUGGUGGGGUAAAGGCCUACCAAGGCGACGAUCCGUAACUGGUCUGAGAGGAUGAUCAGUCACACUGGAACUGAGACACGGUCCAGACUCCUACGGGAGGCAGCAGUGGGGAAUAUUGGACAAUGGGCGAAAGCCUGAUCCAGCCAUGCCGCGUGUGUGAAGAAGGUCUUCGGAUUGUAAAGCACUUUAAGUUGGGAGGAAGGGCAGUAAGUUAAUACCUUGCUGUUUUGACGUUACCAACAGAAUAAGCACCGGCUAACUUCGUG
rnacentral:rRNA from 1 species